UUGGAAUUAAGCCUAUAAUUUAACAUAACAUAAUCAAAAAUUCAUUUGGUAAAUAUAUCAUUUGAUGUUCCAUGUUCAUCUUCUUCUUGUGCCGCCAGCCUCCUUUGUUGUCGACGGCGUCGUUCACGUCCGCCACAGCCGUAGGACAAUGGGCAUCGUCAUCGUUUCUUCCAGCCUCCCUUCUAUCCCUUUUCUUCAUCCGUCAUCGUUUCUUCCCUAAACUCUAGCAUCAGUGCGAUUUUCACACUGAAGCGAUCACGUCAGGCCCUUUUCCACAUCUUGCCCUUAAGCAUCAAGGUGAAAGGAGAUGGCUUGAUGAAACAUGCCCUGCUUGGAGAAGAAUUGAACAUGCCCUGCUACAAUUACAGUUGUUGAAGAUUGUUAGUCAUAAAUAUUUGGUUUGCUGGCCUAAAAACUGUUUAUGAACUGAGACUUUGAAAUCCAAUCCUUCAUGAACUUUUCAUACUUGACAAUUGAUACAAAAGUACUGUUAUGCAUGCAUCUCCAACUGUUACAACCAGGUUACCUCUAUAUAACAUGAGGCUUCAAAAUAGCAUGAAAGCAAAAUAUACAUCUCCAACUGUAACUUUGCCAAGGAACCAUCAACUUUAGUAAUGUAAUACUUGUUCUUGA